GUUAUAGCUGAUGCUUUUAUCCACUACUCAGUGAAGACAACACAAUGAUUCCUAAAGCCAACGGUAAGGAGGUCAAAGACCCAAAAAGCCCUGGAAUGACUCUCUUUACUAUAAGACUUUGAUGCAUUCAAUCCAGGAACAUUUGGGAAGUCUAGAAGAGCCUUAUGAAUAAAUUAUUUUAUCUCAA